rnacentral:rRNA from 1 species
GUAGGGAUUUGACGGUACCGUAGAAUAAGCAUCGGCUAACUCCGUGCCAGCAGCCGCGGUAAUACGGAGGAUGCAAGCGUUAUCCGGAUUCAUUGGUUUAAAGGGUGCGCAGGCGGAAUAUUAAGUCAGUGGUGAAAUCCUGCAGCUUAACUGUAGAACUGCCAUUGAUACUGAUAUUCUUGAAUGUAGUUGAGGUGGGCGGAAUGUGUAAUGUAGCGGUGAAGUGCUUAGAUAUUACACAGAACACCGAUUGCGAAGGCAGCUCACUAAACUAACAUUGACGCUGAGGCACGAAAGCGUGGGGAGCGAACAGGAUUAGAUACCCUGGUAGUCCACGCUGUAAACUAUGAUCACUCGCUGUUGGCAAUACAUCGUCAGCGGCUGAGCGAAAGCAUUAAGUGAUCCACCUGGGGAUUACGAUCGCAAGAUUGAAACUCAAAGGAAUUGACGGGGGCCCGCACAAGCGGAGGAACAUGUGGUUUAAUUCGAUGAUACGCGAGGAACCUUACCUGGGCUUAAAUGCAGAUCGACGUUCCGGGAAACCGGAAUUCCUUCGGGCGAACUGCCAGGUGCUGCAUGGCUGUCGUCAGCCCGUGCCGUGAGGUGUCGGGUUAAGUCCCAUAACGAGCGCAACCCUUAUCGUUAGUUGCCAGCGGGUAAUGCCGGGAACUCUAACGAAACUGCCGGUGUAAACCGUGAGGAAGGUGGGGAUGACGUCAAGUCAGCACGGCCCUUAUGUCCAGGGCUACACACGUGUUACAAUGGUCGGUACAAAGGGCAGCUACCAGGCGACUGGAUGCUAAUCUCGAAAACCGAUCUCAGUUCGGAUUGAAGUCUGCAACUCGACUUCAUGAAGCUGGAUUCGCUAGUAAUCGCGCAUCA